rnacentral:rRNA from 1 species
UACGAAGGGGGCUAGCGUUGCUCGGAAUUACUGGGCGUAAAGCGCACGUAGGCGGACUCUUAAGUCAGGGGUGAAAUCCCGGAGCUCAACUCCGGAACUGCCUUUGAUACUGAGAGCCUUGAGUUCGGGAGAGGUGAGUGGAACUGCGAGUGUAGAGGUGAAAUUCGUAGAUAUUCGCAAGAACACCAGUGGCGAAGGCGGCUCACUGGCCCGAUACUGACGCUGAGGCACGAAAGCGUGGGGAGCAAACAGG